AAACCUAAUCUUGUAAGCCUUAUUAAAAUCUGAUUCCUCCAGUAGUGAAUCCUUGUGGAUCUGUCAUGAUACUAGGAUACUCUAGCAGCUAGAGUUUCUUUCCCCUCUCUGUCCCCGUUCCAAAAAGGACAUAACUCUCACCUGCUUCCUCUCUUCCUCAGUCCAACCCGGAAGUCCCGCCUACUCACCCAGUGAUUGGCUCCUUUAUUCAUUAAGGGAUUGGUUCACAAGAAGCCACCGAGUACUGACUCAUUCCUCAUUCCGGACAACCUCUCCUGGGAGAGCAAGCAGCACGGAGCCAUCCACAACAGUUGGGCCAUACCAUUCUUCAUCCUUUCUAUUAAUCUCUGGUCUGGCAAAUAAUUUUUUAACAUUUGUUUUAUUUAUUUACUUUUUUUUUUUUUAAUUUCACACAUGAAUACUGUAUUUACAGCAUGUCUACUUGCCAGAUCUAUCAUGAUUAAUGUAUUCGUAGACUUAGCUUCUGGUUUCACACUGGGUUCAGCCAAUGGGAAAAGAGGUAGGAAAUGUAAAGGAGGAAGAAGGAGAGUAGGAGAAGAACAACAUUUUCUCCAACCACAGCUUUGGCUUCACAGAUGACAUUAUGAGCAGCAUAAUAUUUAAACCUGAUAACUAAAACUUCUGUAUCUGUAUUUUAGCAGUCAUGUUCUUGGCAAACCUUAGUAUAGUCUUUUGGCUGAAACAGAUGUCAGAAGCACAGCAGCAGCAGCAGCAGCAGCAGCAACCACAGCAGCAACAACAACCACCUGCAAAGUUUUCCUGAUGCUGACUGCAGCUUAGGCCCAUUAACAAAGCCCAAGCUCCACUGCUAAGGAAACCCAGAGUGAUGGCUACUCUUGAUUGUCAACUUGACUACAUCUGGAAUGAACCACAAUCCAGAAAUGGAGGGCACACAUCUAUAAGAGACUUCUUUGCUUUGUUUAAAGUAGGUACAUCUAAUCUGAACCUUUGAAGGAUGAAGAUGCAUGCCUUUGAUCUGCUCUGAAGCAGGAAGACACACACCUUUAAUCUUGAAUCUUGAGGUGGGAAGACAUGCCUUUCUGCUAGGCCAUAACUUCUGCUGGAAGUCUCUAUAAGGACAUAGGACAAGGGCGUUUUUGAUGUUUGUCUGUUUGCCCUUACCCUUUUAGCACUUCCAUUCCUUCACUGACAUUGGAGCCUACUUCUUCGGAAUUCCAGCAUAUACAGAAGACCAGAUGAGACAUCCAGCCUUGUGGACUGAACGACUACUAGGUUCUUGGACUUUCCAUUCACGGCUGGCCAUUUGUGGUGGUUUGAAUAUGCUUGGCCCAUGAGAAGGGGCACUAUUAGGAGGUGUGGUCUUAUUGGAGGAAGUGUAUCAUUGUGUGGGCAGGCUUUGAGGUCUCCUAGUGUUCAAGCUUCACUCAGUGCAGAAGAGAGCCUCCUCCUGGCUGCCUGAGGAAGAGAGCCUCCUUCGGAUCAAGAUGUAGAACUCUUUGCUUCCCCAGCCCCAUGUCUGCCUGCACACUGCUAUGCUUCCCACCUUGAUGAUAAUGGAUGAGACCUCUGAAACUGUAAGCCCUUCCUAAUUAAAUGUUUGCCUUUGUCACAGGAUAGGGUGGUGCCCAAGGGAGGCUUCUCCUUCCCUGAGGAAAAGGGGGAGGGGUAAUGGGGGGAGGAAUUUGCAAGGGCAGGCCUGGGAGGAGAAGAGGUAGGGGUGCUGUGAUUGGGAUGUAAGGUGAAUUAAAAAAUUGUGA
rnacentral:lncRNA from 1 species